UGAGAUUUAUCCUGGCUCAGGACGAACGCUGGCGGCGUGCUUAACACAUGCAAGUCGAACGAUGAAGCCCUUCGGGGUGGAUUAGUGGCGAACGGGUGAGUAACACGUGGGCAAUCUGCCCUUCACUCUGGGACAAGCCCUGGAAACGGGGUCUAAUACCGGAUACCACUCCUGCCUGCAUGGGCGGGAGUUGAAAGCUCCGGCGGUGAAGGAUGAGCCCGCGGCCUAUCAGCUUGUUGGUGGGGUAAUGGCCCACCAAGGCGACGACGGGUAGCCGGCCUGAGAGGGCGACCGGCCACACUGGGACUGAGACACGGCCCAGACUCCUACGGGAGGCAGCAGUGGGGAAUAUUGCACAAUGGGCGAAAGCCUGAUGCAGCGACGCCGCGUGAGGGAUGACGGCCUUCGGGUUGUAAACCUCUUUCAGCAGGGAAGAAGCGAAAGUGACGGUACCUGCAGAAGAA
rnacentral:rRNA from 1 species